UUACAGAAACUUGAAGAGGUACCAAACCACGUGGAUACCUGGGGAGUGUUUCAGAGCAAGCAGACAGUAAGUGCAAAGGCCCUGAGGCAGGUAUGUGUCAGGUACGUUUGGAAAUGAGGUCAGAGAGAAGGACACGUGGAGCGGGAAAACCAGAAGGGCCUCCUGGGUCAUCGUCAGGAUCUUGACAUUUACAACGAGUAAGGUGGGAGCCAUGGCAGGGUUUUGAGCAGAGGAGGAACGGGGCCUGACUUACACACCAUGUGUGUGGAGAACCACCUGUCAGGGGCUAGGGCAGAAGCAAGAGAGCAGGGAGGAGGUGACUGCAACAGUCCCGGCAUAAAAGGACAGUGGCUGAGACCACAGUGGCAACUAUGAAGGGGUGAUGCGUGGCCGAACCCUGGAUACUUGUUCAAAGUGAAGCCAACAGGAUUUUCUGAUCGUUUGGAUGUGGGAUAUGAGAGGAAGAGCAGAAUCGAGGUGGCCCCAAGGAUGUGUCUGAGCGAGUCGAAGAAUGGGGAGACCAUGACUGAGAUGGGGGGGGCAUGAGAAGAGCGAGCUGGUGAAGACGGGGAGCUGGCAAUGCCUGCUAGACACCCAAGGACAGUUGUCAUCGUCAUCUGGAUACAGAUGCCUGCAGGUUAGGCCAGAGGUCCAGGCAGGAAAUAUAAAUUUGGGAAAUGUCAGCAAAAAGAUGGCAUUUCAGGAGUUUCCGCUAUGGCUCAAUGGGAUUGGCAGCAUCUCUGCAGCACCAGGACACAGGAUCAAGCCCCAGCCCUGCACAUCAGGAUAAGGAUCCAGUGUUGCUGUGUGGUGUAUGUCACAACUGCAGCUCAGAUCUGAAUCCUGGCCUGGGAACUCCAUAUGCUGCAGGGGUGGCCAAAAAAGAAAAAGAAAAAAAAAAGGUGGCACUUCAAGUGACUGAAAAAGAUGAACUCAAUCACAGAAUGAAGAUAAAACAACAGAGGGAGAGAGGGGAAGCGCCAGCCCCAGCUCUGCGACACCCGGCUCCCAUCACCCCCAGCCUCCGUGACUGUGUGCUGGGGGAGAGCAGUGAUCAAGGGUCAUAACAGCAUCUCCUCCUCCUUCUAGAAUGACCUGCUGGGGACAAAGGAGUUGCACAUCCAGCAUCUCACCUGCGUCCAAGAAGGAGAUAGGGCAAGAAAGAGCCUCCGAGCCGCACUCUGUCACCUAGAGAAACUGAGGCUCAGAGAGGGACGAGGCUGACGCAAGGUAAUCUGAAGGCCAACUCAGCUGGCAGAGAGCCCGAACCAGGCCCUUGGCUGCUGACACCAGGUGCUGCUGCCAAAUACAGCUUUUCAUGAGCAGAAAUAAAGAGGAUCCCCCCUCCCCAGCCCCACCUUCUGGGGCUGCCAGCAUAGAGGAUGUGACAAAGACUGACACAUGGGGAGGGGGCUGAGAACAUGUCUUGGCCCCAGGCGUUGUAGUGACUGGCAGACGAUGGUGCUGGCACCAAGGUGGGGAGCCAGGAGCAGCAGCCAGCAGCCAACUCAGGACUGGGUCUCCAAAGCCUCCCCAGCAUUGGGGUCUCUCCCCUUUCUGGGCUUAAGGGCCAGCCCUGAGCCCAGAACACCACCUCCCUCCCCCAGGAAGGGGCACCCCACUCCCACCUUGGUGGCAACACCUCCCCAAGCCACAAUUUCCUGGUAAGAUGGGCAACAAGUGCAGAAACGUUAUGUCAUCUUUUCAUCAGGACAGCUGACAUGUGCUGAGCUCUUACUAUGUGCCAGACCCUGAACCAGCCCACAGUUCUCAACCUCAGCACU
ensembl:lncRNA